UGUAAACACAACCCCCAACUGUAAACACUGGCUUAAGGAUUUUUGUCAGAAGCGAGUGACAUUGACAUGACCUCUCGUGACAUGUUACCCCACUUAUGUGUCGCAAUGUGGGUGGAUUUCAACAAACCAGCCAGUUACAAGUGGGACUCACAAUAUAAGCUAAGUUCAUCUUUUUUUUUUUUUAAUUACACUUUCACUUUGACAAAAGCAUUUACUUCUACUCUGAUGUUUAAUUCCACAAAAUCUAAUGUUAUAACCAUAAUGUAUCUGUAUCUCUUUUCAGAUUCCAUAGUGUGAUUUGAGGUGACAAUGAUGCGAGGGGAAAUUAUUUAUUUGGAACUUUAAGGUCGAACAUUCCAGUCUGAGAAAUAACUGCUAUUCGUACAGCCAUCAUGCAUGCACACCCGUAUCCAAAUCCCUUUAAGAUAAGCUCAAAUGUCAAAAUGGGGGGGGGGGGUAUAGUGGUGUUUUGUCCUACUUUCUGGAAAGCCUCAAAAAGGCUUCAUCAACCCAUCGCCAUGGCCUGAAGACAAGUUACCAGAUCAUAACCCAACUGAACACCUAUGGGACAUUUUGGAAUAAUGUGUUGAGCUAUACACCAACUUCAAAACAUCAAAUUAGGGAAUAUCUUCGGGUAGAGAAUGUUUUCCUCCCUCCAGCAGAGUUCAGAGACUUGGGGAAAUUGCUAACAAGGAAGCAAAUAAGGUAUUGUGGAUGCUUAAGGUGGAAGAAACAUCUUACCAAGAUACGUCAUGUUGGUUUUUAUAUUAAUAUCACACCCAAUAUGGUGUAGAAAGGUCAUAUUAUAUAAACAUUUGUUUUUUGUCACAGUCCAAAGUAGGUCGGCCUGUUCAACUAAUCCAUUCUCCUAUGAAAAAGUUUUGCUUGUUGCUCCCCUUGGUGUCAGAAAGCAUUCUCACCACUGUAUUUUCAUUCCUUUUUUUCCUUUUCAGUCAUCCAGUUCCAGACCAAAGUGGCUGUAGAGAUCACGUGUGGUCGUCCCCCUCAGAGCAGCUGCAAGACACAGCAAAGUGGGGGUUAGACCCUUUCAGCACAUUACAUGUUUCUUUCUCUUGUCUUCUUUUCAAACAGUCCUCAAAACACUGAACAGACCAAGGCCAUAUCAUGGCACUGAACAACUGAUUCCCUCAACAUAAGGCCUGAACUGUGAGAAUUUUCCCCUAAAAAUAAAACAGAGCUCUUAUAUUAGCCCAUCACUAUGGUCAGUUUUCCCCUCAAGCUAGAUCUCUGCUAGAACCAAGCUAUGCUGAGUUGUGCUGAGCUGACAGCAAUACAAAGACCAGCUUGUCUUCCGACAUACCUUGUACAUAUACUGUGCCUAUGUGCAAGGUUUUGAAUUGUUUGAAAGUUUCCUUUCAGAAUUGUAAUAAUCCAGCAUGUUUGCAUGCACUGACAAUUCAAGAUAUAUCAGUUUGGAAAGUGCUGUUUCACAAACCUUCAACCAAAGCCAAGAUAAGAAAAUGAAACUUAUUCUGUAAAUUUAAAAUGUUUGUACCACCAUACACACAAAAUUGCACUUUUCAUCACCCACUGUUGUUAAAUUAAAUCUAAAUGUUUCUUUUUCA